CAACCCUCAAGCUCUGCUUGGUAUUGGGCCAUCGCCAUCCGGCGGGCCUCAAAAUCAGUGGCGGCGUCAUCCGACUCUAAGCGUAGUAAUUCUUCUCGCUCUGGAGCUUGGCUGGCUGCUUGCCAUCGAACCCCCAAUUUUUAAA
rnacentral:misc_RNA from 1 species